CGGGGGGGCAAGCGUUGUUCGGAAUUACUGGGCGUAAAGGGCUCGUAGGCGGCCAACUAAGUCCGACGUGAAAUCCCCAGGCUCAACCUGGGAACUGCGUCGGAUACUGGACGGCUUGAAUUCGGGAGAGGGAUGCAGAAUUCCAGGUGUAGCGGUGAAAUGCGUAGAUAUCUGGAGGAAUACCGGUGGCGAAGGCGGCAUCCUGGACCGACAUUGACGCUGAUGAGCGAAAGCUAGGGGAGCAAACGGGAUUAGAUACCCCGGUAGUCCUAGCCCUAAACGAUGAAUGCUUGGUGUGACGGGUAUCGAUCCCUGUCGUGCCGAAGCUAACGCAUUAAGCAUUCCGCCUGGGGAGUACGGUCGCAAGGCUG
rnacentral:rRNA from 1 species